rnacentral:rRNA from 1 species
GAUGAACGCUAGCGACAGGCCUAACACAUGCAAGUCGAGGGGCAGCGAAGAGGUAGCAAUACCUCUGUCGGCGACCGGCGCACGGGUGAGUAACACGUAUGCAAUCCACCUGUAACAGGGGGAUAACCCGGAGAAAUCCGGACUAAUACCCCAUAAUAUGGGCGCUCCGCAUGGAGGGCUCAUAUUAUGGGGUAUUAGUUUUAUGUUAAAGAAAUUCGGUUACAGAUGAACAUGCGUUCCAUUAGCUGGUUGGUGAGGUAACGGCCCACCAAGGCGACGAUCAGUAGCCGGCCUGAGAGGGUGAACGGCCACAUUGGGACUGAGACACGGCCCAAACUCCUACGGGAGGCAGCAGUGGGGAAUAUUGCACAAUGGGGGAAACCCUGAUGCAGCAACGCCGCGUGAGUGAAGAAGUAUUUCGGUAUGUAAAGCUCUAUCAGCAGGGAAGAAGAAAUGACGGUACCUGACUAAGAAGCACCGGCUAAAUACGUGCCAGCA